UGGUAACCAGACAUACGAAAAACAUGGCAAAUUCAGUUCGGUAACAGUGUCAACAAUAGACGAAGAAGAAAGAUGAGAUCGAAGCGCGUGAAAUUGCCGACAGCUAUGCUAACAAUGCUCGAAUUAUCGAAAAACAACUUCACGAAAAGGCGGCAAACUUUCUGAUUUGGGAACCAGGAACAAGCUAGAUGAAGUCGUCCCACCGAAAAAGCCAAGAGGAACAUUAUUAGACAUUUAAUGAAAAAAAUUAGAUAAAUUUUGUAAAAAUAGGUGAAGUCUUGUUCACUCAUUCUUUUUUUUUUUUUUUUUUUUGUUUAUUUACUCCAAAAAUUAAAUAAGCAAAAUAAUCGCCCUUAUUACGUCGGCGUUGUCGUAGGCGUUCAUGUGUCGUAGACGUAGUCGUAGGCGUUGUCAUAAACUAUUUUUUUUGGUAUUAUGUACAAUUUCGAAUACGUCUUUUAUAUAAUAGAUGUUAAAAAGCAGGGUGCUUUGCAAUAAACAAACAUUUGUAGAAUUUACGAGAUACCCGGAAAAAUAAAUAAAAGCGCCAGUUGAAAUGGUUGAAGUAAAA